rnacentral:rRNA from 1 species
CGGCGAACGGGUGAGUAACACGUGGGUGACCUGCCCUCAGCUCUGGGAUAAGCCUGGGAAACUGGGUCUAAUACCGGAUAUGACCUUCUGUCGCAUGGCAGUGGGUGGAAAGUUUUUCGGCUGGGGAUGGGCCCGCGGCCUAUCAGCUUGUUGGUGGGGUGAUGGCUUACCAAGGCGACGACGGGUAGCCGGCCUGAGAGGGCGACCGGCCACACUGGGAUUGAGACACGGCCCAG